CAGCAUGAUGUAUUCACACGGCAGCUGGAGGGAUGCGUGGAGCUCGCUGUUGCAGAAUAUAAAGCAGAGAAGCCUAGACUGUCUCCUAACACUGGGGCUGCCACUGUUACAAGACCAAUGUACUUUUCUACCUGCCAUUACACUUCUAAAAUCUUCAGCAUUUUACAGAGCUCUUGCUUUACAUCCUUGGACUUUACGUGUAGAAGAAACCAAAGGGUAGCUGUGCUGUCGGCCGAUCAGCCCUUCUCCUCCUCCCUCUGCUCUGCAGUGCUUGUUGAAACCUUCCUUUCUUUGUGUAAGCACAAACGUGCAUGAUGGUUUUUAACUGCACUAUGUCAGCACUCCCACUGUAUCCAAAUCACAACUCCGGCUCCAUUUUCAGUUCAACCACCUUUAAAUUUAAUUUAAAUCCUUUUUUUUUCAUGGAUGCUUAAUGACAGAAGGUUUGGUGUUAAAGUUGUGCUUUCAUGCGGAUGGGUGCACCAUGACUGCAGCUCCUCUCCCUUCUCCCCCUGCUCACCACAGCCUAGAAUAACGCUACUUGCCUUUACCCCUGCUGCUUUGAAACCUUCUCAUGUGAGGUUUUUAUCUUUAACAACACUGACAUUGUCAAAAUGAGUGUUUCCACUUCAUAACAUUCAUUAUGAAGACUUGAAAAAUAGAUUAGGAAUAACCUUGCUUACUGAGGUACAGGAGGUUCCUCUUUGGUUUGUGAGGGGUUGGUUGAAGGAUUGCCAUCAACUGGGAGAAUAAAAGAGAAUGACCAGCCCCAGCUUCUUGCCUCUGUAGGCUUGCUUUGUUAUCGUACUGCCUCUCACAACCCUUGGAGGUAAGCCUUUCCUUAAUUGUGUGCUUUUAGCUCCAUUUUGGUAUGACAGCAUACCUGGAUGAAAUUAUACCUGCCAUGGAAAAAAGUCUGUCAAAAAAUCUGCCCCUUCCAACUCCGAGAGAAACAAAAGACCCGUGAACAGGUUGCCAAAUCUAGCCUGGAAUAGUUAAAGCAGUUUCGAGCAACACCAAGAGGAGCGUGCCCAUUUGAACCUGAAGCAGAACUGCAGGAGGUCAGCCAGCCCCUUGCAAUUCCAAAAGCGUAGUUACUACUUGGUUACUACCAUUACCAGAUAAAGCUCAGGAGAAGGGAAUAACUGAGAGACUACUAGGACGCUAGUAUUUUAAAUUCUAGUAUUUUAAAUGAGGCAAGCUCAGGCUUUUUGGUAGACCAGUAGAUGUUUUCUUUGAGGACAGUAGAGUUGUGCAGGUGAAAUUCUCAGGUACUGAAGGCGAGUCAAGUACAGGAUUUAUUUGAAUCAAAAUCCAGAGGCAGAACACGAUUCUCCAAAUUGCCGAAAGCUCUUAUGCUGAGCAUUUGGCCUAAAAAAAAAAGAAUUUUUCUCUCUGUGAAGAGAGUGGCCUGCACGUGAAUGUUCCCAGUGCCCUGCUAGCACCUGACCGCGUUGUGGUGCUGGCCUGCUAAUGAUUUCCUGUGAGAAUAUUGCACUGGGAAUGAGUGCUGCAGUUACACCACCUCAAGGUUCUCUCUGAAGCUGUCUCAGAGAGUGACCCAGCCAAUCUUGAUGACUUUUUGAGCCCUCACACGCUCCCCCCAGGGCGAUAGUGCCUGGAGUUGUGGCAGUGAGUGGCCCGUAAUCAUGGGUGGCAGGGCCCGAGGCUUCUGUUCUCUGAGUCGGUGGGAACGUAACUGCUUUGCCCACCAUCCCAAGCCUCCUUAGCAGCUGGUAGCCUCGUGGUGCCAGUUUGCUGGGCUGAGACAGCAGCACUGGGAUGAUACCUGUGUGCCUACAAACCAGGCUCCUCUCCUGACAGCCACCACGUUGGUGACGUGAGGCCUGCAGCCGCUGGGCCCAGCCCGUGACUGAGGUACAAAAAUGGCCGCUGCCCGUGGAGUAGGGCCGGAGAGGUGACUGGGAUCCAAGCCACAGUGGCAAAAAGGGCCAUGAGGGUGUCCCCUGCCUUUCUGGUGGUACUGGAGAUGAGCUGUGUGGCAGCACGAGGCCGGCAGCCUCCACCUCUGGGGCCAGAGCCCCCCCGGUGCGAUGAAGCAAGGAGGGGUGCUUGGCCCUUUCCUCUGGGCAUGAAGUGCUUUCCUCCUCCUGGUUUUGUUUCCCAUAAAGAGAGACGUAUUUUAAAGACCUCCUGUAACUGCCUUUUAGCAUGGCUGACUCUGGAGCAAGGCAGCAUUGCAGGCAUUUUAGCUUUGGUGCCACAAAUCGAGCUUUCUCACCUUUUGCCUUAAGUGGGUUUAGCCGCCGGUGCCCCAGAAACAGAAAGUAAAUAAUAAAUCAGAGGAAUUUUCAGACUGAGUAACAGCUUGCAGAGCCUCUUCCCCCGCAGUGCUUCACUGCAGCGGAGCACAGCGAUGUUUUAAGGCCCUGCUUCGGGGGAGCUGCUGGCCAGCGGUGCCGGGAGGGCUCAGCACAGCGGGGUCGGGCUUGCGACCAGCCCUGAACCACCCCAGCAUCGCCUCGAGCAGUGCAAGGGCUGCUAAUGAGAGCAGGGCACCCAGGGUUCAGCCUCUGUCAGCUGCUCACGCUAGCACGAAUCACUCAUUCCAUCGCACUGCCACUUCCCCCCCAUGUCUUUAUCCUCCUUUAAAUGUCAUUAGGUUUGCAUUGAGUAUAAAGUGCAGGCAGAGGAAGAGCUGCUGGGUUCUGUGUCUCUGUGCCCACCUUCCUUACCACGAGCCCUGUGAUGUGACAGGGGUGUUUUUUGGGGCAGAAGGGUGGUGGGGCUGUGCUGGGGCUGCAUGCUGCGAGGGGAGGCGGGGAUGCUGGGGGGGUCGGCGCGGCGUGUCGCGUCUCCGCUCACCCCCAGAAAAUGUACACGCACCUCCCUGAAAACCUAGGGCAGAAAAUUGAUAUGCUAGAGAGUGUCUUUAUUUUUGUAUCUUUUUUUUUUCCGGAAAGCUGGGUAGCUACCAAAUGUAUUCCUCUGUUUAAAUUUCAUGUUAUUUUGUCCAGUUUUGGGAGGCAAUGCAGUGUUUUCAGAACAUCCUAUACCUCCUCUGUGCUAAUAAGCCUGUCUGCUGUCACUGCUGGUUUUUCUCAGAUUCCGAUGCCUUGUAUGAUGUGAAGCUGUGUAUCGCUGUUGAAUAAAACACCGUAAUAAACACCUCAAACUAAC